rnacentral:rRNA from 1 species
GACGAGGGCGCAAGCGUUGUCCGGAUUUAUUGGGCGUAAAGAGCUCGUAGGCGGUUUGUCGCGUCGACUGUGAAAACCCGAGGCUUAACCUCGGGCCUGCAGUCGAUACGGGCAGACUAGAGUUCGGUAGGGGAGACUGGAAUUCCUGGUGUAGCGGUGAAAUGCGCAGAUAUCAGGAGGAACACCGGUGGCGAAGGCGGGUCUCUGGGCCGAUACUGACGCUGAGGAGCGAAAGCGUGGGGGAGCGAACAGG